rnacentral:rRNA from 1 species
AACGAACGCUGGCGGCAGGCUUAACACAUGCAAGUCGAACGCGUGUAGCAAUACACGAGUGGCGCACGGGUGAGUAACGCGUGGAUAUCUGCCUUUUGGUUCGGAAUAACCCCGGGAAACUGGGGCUAAUACCGGAUGGUUCCUUCGGGAUAAAGAUUUAUCGCCAAAAGAUGAGUCCGCGUCCGAUUAGCUAGUUGGUGAGGUAAUGGCUCACCAAGGCGACGAUCGGUAGCUGGUCUGAGAGGACGAUCAGCCACACUGGGACUGAGACACGGCCCAGACUCCUACGGGAGGCAGCAGUGGGGAAUAUUGGACAAUGGGGGCAACCCUGAUCCAGCCAUGCCGCGUGAGUGAUGAAGGCCUUCGGUUGUAAGACUCUUUUGGUCGGGGACGGAUGAUGACGGUACCCGCAGAAUAAGCCCGGCUAACUUCGUGCCAGCAGCCGCGGUAAU